rnacentral:rRNA from 1 species
AUUGAACGCUGGCGGCAGGCCUAACACAUGCAAGUCGAACGGUAACAGGAAGCAGCUUGCUGCUUCGCUGACGAGUGGCGGACGGGUGAGUAAUGUCUGGGAAGCUGCCUGAUGGAGGGGGAUAACUACUGGAAACGGUAGCUAAUACCGCAUAAUGUCGCAAGACCAAAGAGGGGGACCUUCGGGCCUCUUGCCAUCGGAUGUGCCCAGAUGGGAUUAGCUUGUUGGUGGGGUAACGGUUCACCAAGGCGACGAUCCCUAGCUGGUCUGAGAGGAUGACCAGCCACACGGGGACUGGGACAAGCUCCAGACUCCUACGGGAGGCAACAGUGGGGAAUAUGGACCAAUGGGCGCAAGCCUGAUGCAGCCAUGGGGCGUGUAUGAAGAAGGCGUUCGGGUUGUAAAGUACUCUCAGCGGGGAGGAAGGGAGUAAAGUUAAUACCUUUGCUCAUUGACGUUACCCGCAGAAGAAGCACGGGCUAACUCCGUG